CACCAGGCACCGAGACUGGUCAGAGCCCCCCCAAGACCGGGCCCCUCGCCGAGCGCUGGGGCUUGGCACAGCUCAGCCCCGUACCGGGCACCGGGACGCUCCGACCGUGCUCCUCACCGGGCACCGGGGAGAGGCACGGAUCCCCCCAAGCCCAGUCCCUCACCAGGCAUUGGGGCUCACAGAGCCCAGCAAACCGGAGCCCUUGACUGGGUAUCCUCCAAACCCACCACACCGGGACCCCCGGGCCCGACUCACCGCCCGGGCACUGCGCCGGCACCACCCGCCACUUCCGCCGGCACUUCCGCUUCCGGUCCUGCUGUUCCCACAGCGCCCCCUAGCGGGCCGGAGGUCUCACGGGAGUCCUCUUAACACAAUUUAAGCUAUAAAAAUAAUAAAAAAACCCCCUAAAAAUAUUACAUUUCGCAGCCACGCGAAACAAGUUUUCACCUCCCCCAACUUUUAUUUUAUAUGCAAUAGAGAAAGUAUGCAAGCACAAUUUUAAAUGUAUAGAUUUUAAAAUGAUAAAUACCGUUCCUUUUUGCAUGAAUACAAAAUAAAAUUGAAUUCAUUAUGCAGUUAUUAUAAACAAGGAAAAAAUUGCGGGUUUCUACUAUUUAAAGUAAAGGAGAAGUUGUGUUGCUGAUGCAAACAGGCAGCUCUGCUGCGUUCCAGGUGCUGAGUGCCCUGGAAAACACCUGAGCCUUGUUACCUCAUUAAGGAACAUUAAGAAAAAGAGGUGUGAUUGGUGAAAUAGGAGUGAGGGUAAUUACCUACAUCUGGUAAUUAAUGGGGUGAUGCUGCUCAGCUGUAAAAGGGCCGGGGGAGCACGAUCUCUGUGUUGAUGCUCUGUGGAUGUGGGAGAUCCUGGACACGGCGUUGGGGUUGGUCCCGAAGGAAUUUGGAAUUAAACGUUUUUUGGAUGUUCAAAAAUACACCAGGAUUUUCUCGUGAGGGGACUAAGGAGGUGUGGCUCCUCUGGAGACCCCGACUUCUCUCUAGAAGAGGCUCAGAGUUGCUUGUGGAGCUGCAAGGGACACCCCACGAGAAAGACAACAUGGGAUGGCAGCAGGACGAGACAUCACUGCAAAAAUGCGGGACCAUGCUGAUUUGAAGCCACACCAACUCUCUGGCCAUGCUGGUUGCUGCAUCACCUCGAGGAGAAGACGUCUCUGAGGUACCUUAUUUUUGCUUUUGGUUUUCUCCAGGUUUGAGGUUUUCUGAUUGCAAGAUGAUGUGUGCCUGAAGGGCACCGAGCACUCGUCGAAGCUCUGAGGGUGGUUUAUCCUGUGCCUGUGAGGUGCAAAGUGCCUGCACUGGGAGCUUUUGGGAGCGUGGUUUCAUCUGGCUGGCAUUAGGUAGCCCUGUUCCAUCCAGAACUGGAAUAUUUUCAAUAUGAUUUCGA
rnacentral:lncRNA from 13 species